CAGCCGCCGCGGGAAUACCAGCACCUCGAGUAGUCAGGAGGUUUAUUGGGCCUAAAGCAUCCGUAGCCGGUUGCAUAAGUUUUCGGUUAAAUCUAUGCGCUUAACGUAUAGGCCGCCGAAAAUACUGUGCAGCUAGGGAGCGGGAGAGAUACACGGUACUCGAUAGGAAGGGGUAAAAUCCUUUGAUCUAUUGAUGACCACCUGUGGCGAAGGCGGUGUACCAGAACACGUUCGACGGUGAGGGAUGAAAGCUGGGGGAGCAAACUGGAUUAGAUACCCCCGUAGUCCCUGUCUCUUAUAC
rnacentral:rRNA from 1 species